ACAUUUAAAAUGUGAGACUGCGGACGGCUCAGUAUAUCAGUUAUAAUCUGCUCGAUUGUGAAGGUUAUUGGAUAACCGUGGGAAAUCUAGAGCUAAUACAUGCACCCCGCGGCCCGGGCGACCGGGUCGCUGCAUUUAUUAGAGAAUGCCAACCGCGCGAGCAAUCGCGUGUGGUGAAUCCAGAUAACUGUGCAGAUCGCACGGCCUCGAGCUGGCGACAUUUCGAUUGAAUUUCUGCCCUAUCAACUUUGUGUAGGCAGUGUAGUGGACUGCCUAGGUUUUGACGGGUAACGGGGAAUCAGGGUUCGAUUCCGGAGAGGGAGCCUGAGAAACGGCUACCACAUCCAAGGAAGGCAGCAGGCGCGCAAAUUACCCAAUCCAGACAAUGGGAGGUGGUGACGAGAAGUACCGGAUGACGGCAUAUUGCUGUCAGUCUGGAAUGGAAGCAAUUUAAGCAAUUGACUUGAGUAACGACUGGAGGGCAAGUCUGGUGCCAGCAGCCGCGGUAAUUCCAGCUCCAGUAGCGUAUCUCAAAGUUGCUGCGCUUAAAACGCUCGUAGUUGGAUCACGCACUGUGUGCGGGUGGACUCGCAGGGUGGCGCGCAAAACCCCUGUGAUCCGGUCGUUGUGUUCUCAUGGCGAUCCGGGUACAGGGGAGCGUCGCUUGCGGGUUGUCGGCCCACGCACAGUAAUUGCACGUGAGGAUGGGCGUUGACCUUUAGUGCGUCGACGGCCGUGUCUCACGGGGUGUGCCUUGAGUAAAUCAGAGUGCUCAAAGCAGGCGAAAGCUUGAAUGUUGAUAGCAUGGAACGAACAAUCGUGUAUGGUGCGUACCGGGGACGGCGUGGAUCCCGUAAGGGGUCUACAUCGCGGUGCGUGACACCGACCGCCAAUUACGGAUGUUGGUUUCCGUAUUGGGGUACUGAUUAAGAGGAGCGGUUGGGGGCAUUGGUAUUUGGCAGCGAGAGGUGAAAUUCUUGGACCUGCCAAGGACUAACAAAUGCGAAGGCAUCUGUCCAGACCGUAUCCAUUAAUCAAGAACGAUAGCGGGAGGUUCGAAGACGAUCAGAUACCGUCCUAGUUCUCGCUGUAAACUAUGCCGACCCGGGAUCAGCUUGGAGCGUCAUCCAAGCUCGAGGUUGGUCCCCCUGGGAAACCUGAAGUUUUUCGGUUGCGGGGGGAGUAUGGUCGCAAGGCUGAAACUUAAAGGAAUUGACGGAAGGGCACCACCAGGGGUGGAGCCUGCGGCUUAAUUCGACUCAACACGGGAAAACUUACCUGGUCCGGACAUCAAAAGGAUAGACAGACCGAGAGAUCUUUCUUGAUAUGAUGAUUGGUGGUGCAUGGCCGUUCUUAGUUCGUGGAGUGAUCUGUCAGGCUGAUUCCGGUAACGAACGAGACCACGUUCUCCAUUUGACGAGUCGGGAAAGGCCGCCAGUGGGCAGGUUUUCGCUCGCGACGACUUGCGCCAGUGGUUGCUUUAGGCAUAGUUCGGUAAAGGCUUCUGCCUCAGCCGUGGUGGUCUCCACUGCGGUCGGGGUGGGUUCUCUCGACCCGGACUAUCCUUCCGAGUCUGCAGUAUGCGUGUCCGCAAGGCGCGUGCAUUGCCUCAUGGAGAGACUGCGGAGAAUACCAAAGUCCGAGGAAGUGUGGCUAUAACAGGUCUGUGAUGCCCUUAGAUGUUCAGGGCUGCACGCGCGCUACAAUGGCGGCGACAGCGAGUUUCUGGAUCGAGAGAUUCGGGUAACCUUGUAAUCGCCGCCGUGAUGGGGAUCGAUGCUUGUAAAUGCGUCGUGAAAGAGGAAUCCCUAGUACGUGCGAUUCAUGAGAUCGCGCGGAUUCAGUCCCUGCCCUUUGUACACACCGCCCGUCGCUACUACCGAGUGAAUGGUGUCAUGAUGCCUUGGGAGCGG
rnacentral:rRNA from 1 species